rnacentral:rRNA from 1 species
GCCUAAUACAUGCAAGUCGAACGGCAGCACGGAGCUUGCUCUGGUGGCGAGUGGCGAACGGGUGAGUAAUAUAUCGGAACGUACCCUGGAGUGGGGGAUAACGUAGCGAAAGUUACGCUAAUACCGCAUACGAUCUAAGGAUGAAAGUGGGGGAUCGCAAGACCUCAUGCUCGUGGAGCGGCCGAUAUCUGAUUAGCUAGUUGGUAGGGUAAAAGCCUACCAAGGCAUCGAUCAGUAGCUGGUCUGAGAGGACGACCAGCCACACUGGAACUGAGACACGGUCCAGACUCCUACGGGAGGCAGCAGUGGGGAAUUUUGGACAAUGGGCGAAAGCCUGAUCCAGCAAUGCCGCGUGAGUGAAGAAGGCCCUCGGGUUGUAAAGCUCUUUUGUCAGGGAAGAAACGGUGAGAGCUAAUAUCUCUUGCUAAUGACGGUACCUGAAGAAUAAGCACCGGCUAACUACGUGCCAGCAGCCGCGGUAAUACGUAGGGUGCAAGCGUUAAUCGGAAUUACUGGGCGUAAAGCGUGCGCAGGCGGUUUUGUAAGUCUGAUGUGAAAUCCCCGGGCUCAACCUGGGAAUUGCAUUGGAGACUGCAAGGCUAGAAUCUGGCAGAGGGGGGUAGAAUUCCACGUGUAGCAGUGAAAUGCGUAGAUAUGUGGAGGAACACCGAUGGCGAAGGCAGCCCCCUGGGUCAAGAUUGACGCUCAUGCACGAAAGCGUGGGGAGCAAACAGGAUUAGAUACCCUGGUAGUCCACGCCCUAAACGAUGUCUACUAGUUGUCGGGUCUUAAUUGACUUGGUAACGCAGCUAACGCGUGAAGUAGACCGCCCUGGGGAGUACGGUCGCAAGAUUAAAACUCAAAGGAAUUGACGGGGACCCGCACCAAGCGGUGGAUGAUGUGGAUUAAUUCGAUGCAACGCGAAAAACCUUACCUACCCUUGACAUGGCUGGAAUCCCCGAGAGAUCAGGGAGUGCUCGAAAGAGAACCAGUACACAGGUGCUGCAUGGCUGUCGUCAGCUCGUGUCGUGAGAUGUUGGGUUAAGUCCCGCAACGAGCGCAACCCUUGUCAUUAGUUGCUACGAAAGGGCACUCUAAUGAGACUGCCGGUGACAAACCGGAGGAAGGUGGGGAUGACGUCAAGUCCUCAUGGCCCUUAUGGGUAGGGCUUCACACGUCAUACAAUGGUACAUACAGAGCGCCGCCAACCCGCGAGGGGGAGCUAAUCGCAGAAAGUGUAUCGUAGUCCGGAUUGUAGUCUGCAACUCGACUGCAUGAAGUUGGAAUCGCUAGUAAUCGCGGAUCAGCAUGUCGCGGUGAAUACGUUCCCGGGUCUUGUACACACCGCCCGUCACA